AGCGGCAGACGGGUGAGUAACGCGUGGGAAUCUACCCAUCUCUACGGAACAACUCCGGGAAACUGGAGCUAAUACCGUAUACGUCCUUCGGGAGAAAGAUUUAUCGGAGAUGGAUGAGCCCGCGUUGGAUUAGCUAGUUGGUGGGGUAAUGGCCUACCAAGGCGACGAUCCAUAGCUGGUCUGAGAGGAUGAUCAGCCACACUGGGACUGAGACACGGCCCAG
rnacentral:rRNA from 1 species